rnacentral:rRNA from 1 species
UAGGGAAUCUUCCACAAUGGACGCAAGUCUGAUGGAGCAACGCCGCGUGAGUGAAGAAGGUCUUCGGAUCGUAAAGCUCUGUUGUUGGUGAAGAAGGAUAGAGGCAGUAACUGGUCUUUAUUUGACGGUAAUCAACCAGAAAGUCACGGCUAACUACGUGCCAGCAGCCGCGGUAAUACGUAGGUGGCAAGCGUUGUCCGGAUUUAUUGGGCGUAAAGCGAGCGCAGGCGGAAUGAUAAGUCUGAUGUGAAAGCCCACGGCUCAACCGUGGAACUGCAUCGGAAACUGUCAUUCUUGAGUGCAGAAGAGGAGAGUGGAACUCCGUGUGUAGCGGUGGAAUGCGUAGAUAUAUGGAAGAACACCAGUGGCGAAGGCGGCUCUCUGGUCUGCAACUGACGCUGAGGCUCGAAAGCAUGGGUAGCGAACAGGAUUAGAUACCCUGGUAGUCCAUGCCGUAAACGAUGAGCGCUAGGUGUUGGGGACUUUCCGGUCCUCAGUGCCGCAGCAAAUCG